UGCCCACUGGUCACCCUAUAAAUAGUACUCUUCUGUGUAGUAAUAUUGUAGUUCUAAAAAUAGAAAACCAAAAAUAGACAAUUCUUCUUUCUAUUUAGCAAUACACCAUAGAUCUAAAGCCUAUCACCGUCUGUAUUAUCUGUAAGUAAAAUUAACGUACUGAGCAAUUGAAUACAAUGAAUAACACAAACUUCAGUUUAAUGAAGUUAUUCAAAGCAAAAUAUUUGUUUCAUCCAUUUUGCAUGAUUUGUCAUUUGUGAUGACACGUUUUUUAAAUGUUCGAAUCACAGACUAGAAGGAAAUCUUCUUUUUUCAGAAGUCCGCGGAAAAUGUAGAUAAGAGUGAAGUCCUCAGAAAAUGUAGAUGAGAAUGGAAUUGUAAGACAAUCAAAGAAAAUGAAAAAAAGAACAAGAACAGUUCCAGGUGAUGUUGACUAUCAAGUUAAAUGCUUUAACCGAGGCUCCUG